rnacentral:rRNA from 1 species
CGAGCGGCGGACGGGUGAGUAAUGCCUAGGAAAUUGCCCUGAUGUGGGGGAUAACCAUUGGAAACGAUGGCUAAUACCGCAUGAUGCCUACGGGCCAAAGAGGGGGACCUUCGGGCCUCUCGCGUCAGGAUAUGCCUAGGUGGGAUUAGCUAGUUGGUGAGGUAAGGGCUCACCAAGGCGACGAUCCCUAGCUGGUCUGAGAGGAUGAUCAGCCACACUGGAACUGAGACACGGUCCAGACUCCUACGGGAGGCAGCAGUGGGGAAUAUUGCACAAUGGGCGCAAGCCUGAUGCAGCCAUGCCGCGUGUGUGAAGAAGGCCUUCGGGUUGUAAAGCACUUUCAGUCGUGAGGAAGGUGGUGUAGUUAAUAGCUGCAUUAUUUGACGUUAGCGACAGAAGAAGCACCGGCUAACUCCGUGCCAGCAGCCGCGGUAAUACGGAGGGUGCGAGCGUUAAUCGGAAUUACUGGGCGUAAAGCGCAUGCAGGUGGUUUGUUAAGUCAGAUGUGAAAGCCCG